rnacentral:lncRNA from 1 species
AAAGGACUACUCCUUUACACUUUCGAUACACAAUUUCUCUGCACUAAACAGGCUUACACUUACAAUUCAUUACUUUCACACAUGCUUACACAACUAUUUUUUUCAUUCAAUAAUAAAACUCUUCUGCACUAAACUCCCUCGCAAGCAAAUUGCUUCUCUCAUUGAUAUCAUCAAGAACUCUAUUCUCUAAUCUCCUUUUACCGUCUGAGAAAUUCAUGAGUUCUCUUAAACUCUCAAGUUUUCU